AAGUAGGUAGCUUAAACUUAAAGCCUAACACUGAAGAUGUUAUUAUAGAUACUAUUCUUCUACUUGU
rnacentral:tRNA from 1 species